UUUCCGUAGGUGAACCUGCGGAAGGAUCAUUAUAAAUGAAAAACGAAUAACUUCAGGGAAGAAGGGAACCUGCACGGUGACCUCCCCUGUCGGGCCACCCAAUACCUUCAAAAUGCCGCCGUCCUAGCGGUGGCAGACGAAAAAAAAACAAGAAAAACAAAAUAGAAGCAGGCACGGUGGCCCGUUCACCUUCACACAACCCUCCGAGUACCGCUUCCAUGUUGCUUCCCCGCAAAUCCACCUCUUUGGUGAGCGCGGGGGAGGUCCGCAUCAAAUUCACCUGAAUGUCACAGCAGUCAGACAGCCAUUCAUGGAAACAAUAAAACUUUCAACAACGGAUCUCUUGGUUCCC
rnacentral:misc_RNA from 1 species